rnacentral:rRNA from 1 species
GAUGAACGCUGGCGGCGUGCCUAAUACAUGCAAGUCGAGCGAACGGACGAGAAGCUUGCUUCUCUGAUGUUAGCGGCGGACGGGUGAGUAACACGUGGAUAACCUACCUAUAAGACUGGGAUAACUUCGGGAAACCGGAGCUAAUACCGGAUAAUAUUUUGAACCGCAUGGUUCAAAAGUGAAAGACGGUCUUGCUGUCACUUAUAGAUGGAUCCGCGCUGCAUUAGCUAGUUGGUAAGGUAACGGCUUACCAAGGCAACGAUGCAUAGCCGACCUAAGAGGGUGAUCGGCCACACUGGAACUGAGACACGGUCCAGACUCCUACGGGAGGCAGCAGUAGGGAAUCUUCCGCAAUGGGCGAAAGCCUGACGGAGCAACGCCGCGUGAGUGAUGAAGGUCUUCGGAUCGUAAAACUCUGUUAUUAGGGAAGAACAUAUGUGUAAGUAACUGUGCACAUCUUGACGGUACCUAAUCAGAAAGCCACGGCUAACUACGU